CUUCAGUGAUGAUACGAUGACGAGACAGAUGAGGGCCCGUCUCUGAGGAUUUCUGGGUCAGGGUCACGUUUUGUGCUUCUGGCUUUAGUUCCUCAGAGGUGUGUGUCCUCUUAUAUUGAAGACAUCGAGGCAUUUGUCUGAGAAGG